rnacentral:rRNA from 1 species
AUUGAACGCUGGCGGCAGGCCUAACACAUGCAAGUCGAACGAGUGGCGGACGGGUGAGUAAUGUCUGGGAAACUGCCCGAUGGAGGGGGAUAACUACUGGAAACGGUAGCUAAUACCGCCUACCAUCGGAUGUGCCCAUAGGGGAUUGGCUAGUAGGGGGGGUAACGGCUCACCUAGGCGACGAUCCCUAGCUGGUCUGCGAGGAUGACCGGCAACACGGGAACGGAGAAACGGUCCAGACUCCAACGGGAGGCAGCAGUGGGGAAUAUUGGACAAUGGGCGCAAGCCUGAUGCAGCAAGGCGGCGUGUAUGAAGAAGGCCUUCGGGUUGUAAAGUACGUUCAGCGAGGAGGCGUUACUCGCAGAAGAAGCACCGGCUAACUCCGUGCCAGCAGCCGCGGUAAUUC